rnacentral:lncRNA from 1 species
UUAAGACGAGUUACCGCUUUUAUUAAUUGUAGAAGCUGGAAUGCCAGGAAAGACAUUCAGCAAGACAACUGAAAAUCCUAGUCAAUUAAGAUGAGUUAAAAGCACCAGUCACAUGCUGUGUUCGAACUCGUAACACCUCCGUCUUGACUGACAAGUGAUCAAUAAGAUGAACUAAUAACAAAAUUAAGCUACUGAGGCCCCAGGUUAGACUUGAUCCUAAAGGUCUUCGUCUGUAUAUAUACUUUCAAUUUUGAUCAACUGCAC